rnacentral:rRNA from 1 species
CCUACGGGAGGCAGCAGUGGGGAAUAAUGGGCAAUGGGCGCAAGCCUGACCCAGCAACGCCGCGUGAAGGAAGAAGGCUUUCGGGUUGUAAACUUCUUAUCUCAGGGACGAAGCAAGUGACGGUACUUGAGGUAUAAGCCACGGCUAACCACGUGCCAGCAGCCGCGGCAAUACGUAGGUGGCAAGCGUUAUCCGGAUUUACUGGGUGUAAAGGGCGUGUAGGCGGGACGGCAAGUCAGAUGUGAAAACCACGGGCUCAACCUGUGGACUGCAUUUGAAACUGUAGUUCUUGAGUACUGGAGAGGCAGGCAGAAUUCCUGGUGUAGCGGUGAAAUGCGUAGAGAUUAGGAGGAACACCAGUGGCGAAGGCGGUCUGCUGGACAGCGACUGACGCUGAGGCGCGAAAGCGUGGGGAGCAAACAGGAUUAGAUACCCUAGUAGUC